rnacentral:rRNA from 1 species
CAGUCGCCACGGUAAUACGAAGGUCCCGAGCGUUGUUCGGAAUCACUGGGCGUAAAGGGAGCGUAGGCGGCGUGGUAAGUCAGAUGUGAAAUCCCGGGGCUCAACCCCGGAACUGCAUCCGAUACUGCCGUGCUAGAGGAUUGGAGAGGUAGCUGGAAUUCUUGGUGUAGCAGUGAAAUGCGUGGAGAUCAAGAGGAACACUCGUGGCGAAAGCGAGCUACUGGACAAUAUCUGACGCUGAGGCUCGAAGGCCAGGGUAGCGAAAGGGAUUAGAGACCCCUGUAGUCCCUGUCUCUUAUAC